rnacentral:tRNA from 1 species
GGAGGAUGUCCGGGUGGUGAGGAAGCCGCCUUGAAAGCGGUCGCUUGUUAAAGGGUUGCAGGUUCGAAUCCUGUGUCCUCCG